rnacentral:lncRNA from 1 species
AAGUAACAGAGGGAAGAAAUGUUGACACUGCACUCCAGGAAACCAGACUCUGUUCAGGGGAAGAGCAGGAUCUUGCGCACUUCUUUAAUAGUCUUCAACGUUUUCAGCUGCUGUGCAUGCAUUUGUACUCAGCGCUUCUAUAAAUCUUUUCCUGACUGAAGUGGAAUCUUAACCUAUGAUUGUCAAGUUGUGCAAGCAAGAUAUUGAUCUUGGACUACAGUAAAGCAACUACUAUACAAGAGGACAGCAGGAUCUGGGCCAAUAGCUUGAUAUUGCCAGUUUCAUUGAUACAGGACAGAAUGUCAACAUAUUUCACUGUGUGGGUGUUUUUUGGAAUACUUCUGCUGGCUGUAGGGGCAGCUGAUUGUUCAAAGAGGGAAGCGUUGAUGAGACCGCUCCCCGGCAAGGCGUCGGUGACAGUAACAAACUGUUUGAUGGAGUGCACUGGGAUGAUAUACUUUAAGAAAUUGCAACUUCAGGACAAUCAUAAUAUACGGCUUUCAGAUAGCACAGAAGGAGACCUCGGGGAAUAUUGCUGGUCUACAGAGCUCAAGUGCAACAUUGGAGAGGGCUUUGUGCAUGCCUACGUGGUGUUGCCUGUGGAUGGAUCUGCAGUUGGCCAUGAGCAGCUAGAAGUCAAAGCCAAUGUCCCAUCUGCCACCACACUGCUCGCACACAACAGCCCCACGACAAUCGCAGACAACUGUGGCCUUCGAUACGACGUCACGCCGCACUUCAGCACAGAGCCGGCGGGGACGUCCUUCUGCGUACAGAUUGCCACCCAGGAAGAUGUCCUAGGGGACAAAGUUCUGAAAUGUCCUCCUUUUCUGGUCACUUUCUGGGCGAGAAAACCAAAUCAGCCCAACCAAGAAGGUGGUGGAUAAAAUCUCAGUGAUGGAAGACGUUCUCAGAUCUUUUGCUUAAGUGAAAUUGCUAAUACCAUAAUGUACGAAUACUCAGUCCUGCAUUGAAAAUGUUACUUUAUUAAAAUGAUAUAGGUAUAAUCAGGAAAAUGUACUCAAUGCAGAAAAGUGGCCCCUGUGACUGUUAUAUUAUUAUACGUCAUAUCAUUGUAUUGUUAUUACUCAUGCAUUAAUGUGUAAGUGGCCCUGUACAAUUGUAGUUGGUUGAUUUUUAACAAUUAUAUAAAAGGCUGCAACUUUUCAUUAUUUUCAUUAUGGAUUAAUCUCCUGAUCAUUUUAUCGAUUAAUCGAUUGAUUGUUUGGUUUGAAAAACUCCGGUGAUGCUGACAGAAGGCACAAAGGUAGGCAGGCAGGUAGCUAGACCGAAUGAAAUGAUUGGACGGAGUUGUUACAGUCCUGCAACAGUAUUCUUUUAUUAGAGCAUUUCAGUUAUUGAUUGCUGUCCGGAAGACUAUUUCAACAAAUGUAACAAAAACAAUUGUAAAAUUACCCACCCUAGCUUUAUCAUACUAAGUUAAGUACUUGCAGGACAUUGUGAAAAUGAUAUGGAUAUAUAUAUAUAUAUAUAUAUAUAUAUAUAUAUAUCUCCUUUCAUUGUGAACAUUAGUUGUCUAAUGAUGCAGUUUUAUUUUUUAUAAGGACAUUUUAGAAUCAGAAUAAAUGAUUUUUCAUUGGAUUUAUGUGAUUUUAAACAUUUUGUUUCUUGUUUUAGUUGUGAAGGUAUUUGUUGACAUUUUAUCAGAGAAGUGGAUGCGGAGCACUUUGCGUGUAUGAACCCAGCUUUGUUAUCAAAGGCAAACCGAGUGGUGCAAAAGUUAUCUGUUAAAUGAAUAAUGUAAAUACAAGAUGUUCAUGGUUGUAAGUGUUUAUGGCAAUAUUAAAUCAUUUUAUUUUCCUUUUUCAGUCACAUCUUUAUUGUGCUUGUGUGUUUGACUGUUGAGAAACAUUCAGUGAUAUUAAUGUAACCUUAUGUAGAACAAGAACCUAUUAUUGCAAACCCAAUUCCCAUUACAACUAAUUGCAAAACCCAAUAUCAGUUAAUAUACACUUAAACUGUGAGCAAAUGAGUUUGGACUAAUUGUGCUGGGAUCUUUUGAUUUAUAAUACUAUAUUUAAAUUACUGCUACUCUAUGCAGCAGUGUGCAUCCUGUGUGUGUUUAUCUGGUUGUAUGUGUACAAUCAUGCCAAUAUGUGCUGCUCUGCUUAUCAUACAAUCUACAUACAUUUACCAAAAACAAUUUCCACCUGUUCUUGGUUGUGCAUUAGUUGUCUAUUCCACUGGUUUAGACAAUUGUCUAGUGUGCAAUUACCAAUGCCUUGUGCAAUAUUCACUUUUUAUAACUUUUGCAAUUACACUAUCAUGUGCAAUAUUCACUCCUACACUUUUUUACUUAUAUUACUUAUAUUACUGUUACUGUAUUUUUAUUCUAUUUAAUUGUUACUUGUCACUUUACUCUCUUUGCUGUAACAACAUACAUUUCCCCGUCGUGGGACAAAUAAAGGAUUUCUGGUUCCCAACCUGGGGGUCUCGACCUACUUGAGGGGUCGCCUAAGCUUCACAGGAAGUUGA